GAUGAACGCUAGCGGGAGGCCUAACACAUGCAAGCCGAGCGGUAUUGUUUCUUCGGAAAUGAGAGAGCGGCGUACGGGUGCGUAACACGUGUGCAACCUGCCUUUAUCUGGGGGAUAGCCUUUCGAAAGGAAGAUUAAUACUCCAUAAUAUAUUGAACGGCAUCGUUUAAUAUUGAAAGCUCCGGCGGAUAGAGAUGGGCACGCGCAAGUUUAGCUAGUUGGUGAGGUAACGGCUCACCAAGGCGAUGAUCUUUAGGGGGCCUGAGAGGGUGAUCCCCCACACUGGUACUGAGACACGGACCAGACUCCUACGGGAGGCAGCAGUGAGGAAUAUUGGUCAAUGGGUGCAAGCCUGAACCGGCCAUCCCGCGUGAAGGACGACUGCCCUAUGGGUUGUAAACUUCUUUUGUAUAGGGAUAAACCUACCCUCGUGAGGGUAGCUGAAGGUACUAUACGAAUAAGCACCGGCUAACUCCGUG
rnacentral:rRNA from 1 species